CUCAGAAACAGAAAGAAUAAAAAAUAAACAAUGAGCAGAGACUAAUGAAUCUGUGGGACAUCAUCAAAUAGACCAACAUUCAUAUUCUAGAAGGAUAAAUUAUGUUGUUAAAAAGUUUACCAUUCUUUCUUUUCACUUUUCUUCCUUCCUCCUUCCCCCUCCUCCUUUUUACUUUUCUUCCUCUUCCUUUCUCUUCUUCUUUCUCUCCUUCAUUAUCCCUUUCGCUGUUUCUCUUUCUCCCUUUCUCUUUUUUCUUUUCUUUCAAUUUUCUCAAUUACUAAGAGAUGUUUAAGUACCCUUACCAUGUUAGUAGAUACGGUUAUUUCUCCC
rnacentral:lncRNA from 10 species